AGAAAUUGCUGCAUUUAUCAUUAAUCCUCUCUCCUAAAAAAACAUGUUCCCAGUAGUUCAGCAGUGGGAGAGACAACCCUCCCCUUCUGCCUCCUCCGUCAUCCGGGAAAGGAGUGCUAGAGAAAAUACAACCAGCCGGGUGGGAAGUUACUACACUCACAGCCCAGAUUUCGACCUGGGAGAGAGCAAUGUGCUCGGCUGAAGGAGACCCCGAGCUCCCGAAGAGGGCACGGACGAGGACGGCUCUCCUGCCCUCCUCCCGGCCCCUCUCACCCUCCUGUGGCAGCUGCAGUGCCCGGCCACGCACUCAUCUGAACCACGAAGGCCCAGAGCUGAG
rnacentral:lncRNA from 1 species